rnacentral:rRNA from 1 species
GACGAACCGUACGAACGUUAUUCGGAAUCACUGGGCUUAAAGGGUGCGUAGGCGGCGCGACAAGUUGGGUGUGAAAUCCCUCGGCUCAACCGAGGAACUGCGCCCAAAACUGUCGUGCUCGAGGGAGAUAGAGGUGAGCGGAACUUAGGGUGGAGCGGUGAAAUGCGUUGAUAUCCUAAGGAACACCGGUGGCGAAAGCGGCUCACUGGAUCUCUUCUGACGCUGAGGCACGAAAGCUAGGGUAGCGAACGGG